rnacentral:lncRNA from 1 species
UUUUAAACUUGCUGGGCAACUUUCAUGCUCACCCUUGCUAUAUCAUGAUAAAACAUUGCAGAUAAGGCGAAUACGGCCAAAUACAAAAAAAGGAUAAUGCCAAGUUCAGCUUGGGAUAGAAUGUGCAGCUAGAUUGUAAUGGUAUAGUUUGUAAUAGUAUAGUUUAUGAUUUGUGUAUUAGUUAAGGUUACUCGAUUUUGGGGAAUAGUGUGUAAAAUGUAAUGUAUAAACAAUUUAUGUUUAUAUCUUCCGCAACAGUUGUAGAAAUAGCGAACCGGAUCCG